AGCAAGCAGGUUUACAUUCUUUGUAAACGAUGACUGUACUUAGCGACCGACUCUCAAACGGUUUGAAAAGGGAAGAUCUUUGUGCAAGCUUGGGGUGCUGGGUGCAUUGGGUGGGCUGGGCCUACAUCUGCUCUGUCUGAGUCACGGGUUCCCCCGUCUCCGUCCUGACUCACAGGUUGGCAGCCGCCCUACCAGAUGGUUUGACAUCCAAGAGAUGCAAUUGAGGGCUGCUUGCCCCAAUCCCCAGAGCAUCCUUUCUAUCAACAAUGCCACAAACCACAGGCAGAGAUCUCCUGGGAACUCAUCAGAGACUGACUUCAAGGACAGAUAACAUGAAGACAGGGUACCAGCCUUCCCACCUGUUCUAGCAGCCUGGGCAGGAUGCCAGCCUCCUCACCUGCUCUCGCCACGCAUCAGACACCUGUAGCCAUGUAAAGAGCCAACGUUGCCAGCCAAAGUGGCCCUGAACAGUAACCCAGUCUGCCUCCAUCAGAUUCUCAAAAGAUCACCAGGCACAGAGCUGAAACACCCUCAAUCCUUUCGGCCUGAGGAGGGACAGAUGUCAUCUGGAGCUACAUCCAGGCCCAAACACCAGCUUUCUGUGGCUGAGACGCUGGCUUCCUGUGAAGAUCAAAGGCUCUGUGGGGUGGACCUGGACGCUAGCUCACAGCACCUGUCCUCGGGGCUGUUGAGCAUUGAGUCCAAGCUGUGCUAACUCUAGAGGCUGGACAUAUCUCUCCAAAAUCCCUGCGUUGUCGCCCAAAUACACCGUGUCCUUAGACCUCAUUGAAGAUUGUGCUCAUCUGUGCACAGAGCUUCUUCUGAGAUCCUUGCCAGGUCAACCUUACCACAGGACCUUCAAGGUCUUUCCUAACAGCGUUUGCUGGACAUCGUCACUAGCCCUUGAGUGUAAGUUUGAGUUCAGUCUGGGCUGAGCUGGCACGCACAGACUCAAACCCCCUCCUUUCCUGCAGCUGGACACUGUUUCUGUGCCAUGCAGAGAAACAUCUGGACAGUUUUCCAGUGGGGCUCCUUUUAAAAAUUGUGUUUAAAAUUAUUUUUAAACUUCUACAGAAUCAGUAAGUGCAUCAAGCUGUGAGAUUCCCACCAUAGCAGCCAGGCACACAAAGGCUUUCUGAAUCCCAAGAGUCUCUCAGACUGUGCCACUAUGGUCAGGCACAGCCACCUAGCCCCCGGGAAACCCAAACCCCCGGCCCCUUCCCCAUGGCCACAUCCUCCUAAGCAUCACACUCUGGCUUUUGUACUUGGCUCGGUGCUCUGUCAGGUUGCCAUGGCAUCCACAGCUCCCUCUUCUUCCCUGUUCUAUAGUUUUCCAGCACGUGCUAUGCAGAGUCAACGCUGGUCCCUUCCACAGUGAGCGAUGGUGGUCAUGCUGCACAGUCACUCAUGUAUGUGAAUUUGUUCUCAUCCCUCCAGGGCCAAGACCUAGGAGUGAAAUGGCCGGGUCAUCUGGCAGGCACAUGCUCGGCUUGAUAUCAAACAGGCUCUUUCUAGAGGGAAACAAUUCUCCACCGACCACGUGGGGCCGUUCAGUGCUCCGUGUCCUCAUCAGCACUUGUAUGUUAGUUAUUUGUCUUGCUGCUGUGGGAAAAACAUGAUGAAAAUAAAAAUAAGGAAGGCUCAUGGGUUUGGGGUACAAUACAUCAUGGCAGGUAAAGCAUGGCAGAGUUUGAGGCGGCUGGUCACAUGGUACCCACACUCAGGGAGCAGAGGGAACUGGCUGACACACAGCAUCUUUUCUCCUCUCUGUGUACAUCAGGACCCUAGCCCAUGAAAGGAUGCUGCCUACAGUUAAGGGGUGUCCUCCUGCCUCAGUGAGCCUGACCGAGAUAAUCCUUCACGAGUGUGCCUGGACACUUGCCACCUCUGUGAGUCUAGAUCCUGUCAAGUUGAUAACAUAAAUCAACACAGCUCCACCCUCUGUCGAUUUGAAACCCAACCACACUGCUUCUAAAACAUAAUCUUCCUUUCCUUGCUCCCACGGGUCCGUGGCCAUCUCAUCAUGCAAAUGAGUUCAGUCCACGCUAAAAAGUCCUCAUAGUCUUUGACAAUU